rnacentral:rRNA from 1 species
UACAGAGGGGGCCAGCGUUAUUCGGAAUUAUUGGGCGUAAAGGGCGCGUAGGCGGCCAUGCGUGUCUUCCGUGAAAUCCCUCGGCUUAACUGAGGACGUGCGGAAGAAACUGCAAGGGCUCGAGUCCGGGAGAGGGGGGUGGAAUUCCCAGUGUAGCGGUGAAAUGCGUAGAUAUUGGGAGGAACACCGGUGGCGAAGGCGGCCCCCUGGACCGGUACUGACGCUGAGACGCGAAAGCGUGGGGAGCGAACAGG